rnacentral:rRNA from 1 species
GUGGGGAAUCUUGCGCAAUGGGCGAAAGCCUGACGCAGCCAUGCCGCGUGAAUGAUGAAGGUCUUAGGAUUGUAAAAUUCUUUCACCGGGGACGAUAAUGACGGUACCCGGAGAAGAAGCUCCGGCUAACUUCGUGCCAGCAGCCGCGGUAAUACGAAGGGGGCUAGCGUGGCUCGGAAUUACUGGGCGUAAAGGGCGCGUAGGCGGACAGUUUAGUCAGAGGUGAAAGCCCAGGGCUCAACCUUGGAAUUGCCUUUGAUACUGGCUGUCUUGAGUUUGGGAGAGGUGAGUGGAACUCCGAGUGUAGAGGUGAAAUUCGUAGAUAUUCGGAAGAACACCAGUGGCGAAGGCGACUCACUGGCCCAAUACUGACGCUGAGGCGCGAAAGCGUGGGGAGCAAACAGGAUUAGAAACCCCGGUAGUCC